rnacentral:rRNA from 1 species
AGAGUUUGAUCCUGGCUCAGGACGAACGCUGGCGGCGUGCCUAAUACAUGCAAGUCGAGCGAAUCGAUGGGAGCUUGCUCCCUGAGAUUAGCGGCGGACGGGUGAGUAACACGUGGGCAACCUGCCUAUAAGACUGGGAUAACUUCGGGAAACCGGAGCUAAUACCGGAUACGUUCUUUUCUCGCAUGAGAGAAGAUGGAAAGACGGUUUCUCUGUGUCUUUUAUAUGGGGGCCCGGGGCGCUUUAUCUAUGUGGGGAGGAAGGGGCUCCCCAGGGGGAAAAUGCGUACCCCACCUGAGAGGGGGAUCGGCCACUCUGGGACUGACACACGCCCCAAACCCCUACGGGAGGGAGCAGUGGGGAAUUUUCCCCAGUGGAAAAAACUCUGACGGAACCACCCCGCGGGAAAAAAAAAGGCCUUCGGGGCGAAAAGUUCUGGUGUUGGGGAAAAACAAAUACCAGAGAAUCUGGGGGCCUCUUGAGGGUCCCUAACCAGAAACCCGCGGAUAUCUACGUGAGCAUACGCGGGAAAACUUAUAUGUGGAAAGCGGUGCCCGAAAAUUUUGGCUAGAAAAGCGCGCACGAGUGGUUCUUUAACUCUGAUGUAAACCCCCUCGGCUUAACUGUGGAGCGUUAUUGAAAUAUGGGAGAUCUGCGAGUGCAA